UAUUUGGGUUGGGCCUUCUUCGGGUCUAGUUGACGUUAAACUGCAUGAUAGGAGCGAUGGCGACUUGGGGCCGUUGGGAACAGAUCGGGUUUAGAACCCAACUUGCUGCCGAGUCAACCAAUGUAGCACAGGUGGCUUAAGUGAUAUGCAGGUUCAGACUAAUGAGGAGCCAUCUUAGUGGUUAAGGAUUCGUGGUUAUACCUACCAAGGAAGUUGCGCGAUCUUACGGCUUUCAUUUAUAUGCUUCUAUAUAUUUCUCAUGUAUGUAAAUCUUGUAAUGUUAACGUGGAGACAUUGGUUUGUAUAAGUCAUUAUGGGCAAACUCUUGUAUACUCUAAAUGUAAAUGAAAAUUUUCCUUU